GGGAUAUAAGGACAGGAAAGGAGGAGAUUCCUCAAUGGUUGUGUCUUCAUGAGAUAUCUACAUUCCAGUCUGUGUCCUGAGCCUGGGGCUUGACUGAAGCUCCAUCCUACUAUAGGGAGAGGAAAGGAGGACGCUGUCAGUGAGGCUCUUCCUCCUCCCUGUUUUCACUUGGAAUGAGCACGAACUCCCCCACACAGCUGAGCAGUACCUGGGAAGACAGAAUGGAAUCAAGAGCCUCUCACUUGUUGCUGGAAAGCGGGCAGCAAUCAUGCACAGGGACCACCCUCAACCACUUCCAGUAUGCAAUGGAAGGGUAGUUCUUGUGGACCUUUUCGGCACAGUGGUGAGGCUGUCCUGAACCGUAUCUCCUUUGGCCACUUUUUG
rnacentral:lncRNA from 11 species